GGAUGAGAAGAGGGUUUGCGUGUGUUUAGCUGCGAAAAUUUUGAGUGGCGGAAAAAUGAAGUUAGAUAGUUUCAAGGAUAAAUGGUUGACAAGUGUCCCUUCUAGAAUGGCGGCAGACUUGAAAAUGCUGGAGGGAGAAGUGCUGUAUGAAAGGGCUGGAGUCCAGGACUGGAUUCGUGCUUUCAGUGUUGCAGAUCUUCCAUCGUCUCCCGCUG
rnacentral:misc_RNA from 1 species